UACGUAGGGGGCAAGCGUUGUCCGGAUUUAUUGGGCGUAAAGAGCGUGUAGGCGGCUUGGUAGGUCCGCUGUGAAAACUCGAGGCUCAACCUCGAGAUGUCGGCGGAAACCACUUGGCUAGAGUCCGGAAGAGGAGAGUGGAAUUCCUGGUGUAGCGGUGAAAUGCGCAGAUAUCAGGAGGAACACCAGUUGCGAAGGCGGCUCUCUGGACUGUAACUGACACUGGAGGCACGAAAGCGUGGGGAGCAAACAGG
rnacentral:rRNA from 1 species